AUCUACACUCUGAAUAUUUUAUGAACUUGGAUUUUCCUUUGUUUCAACCUAAACAGAAUGUCCUUCUUCGAGAGCCGGAACUUGGAUUUUUUUUUUGGACCGACCCAAAUCAAUUUUCCUCCGGGAGCCGGGGAUCCCCUUUUCAUUUCUACCUCUGAAAUCUACACUUUGAAUAUUUUAUGAACUUGGAUUUUCCUUUGUUUCAACCUAAACAGAGUGUCCUUCUUCGAGAGCCGGAACUUGGAUUUU